AUGUGUGUGGACGGCACGCACAUUAAAAUACUUCCUCCUGCAGACGAACCGUAUUUGUACUACAAUCGUAAGGGAUACUACAGCCUAAAUGCAAUGGUGAUUUGCGAUAACAAGAUGCAAAUAAGGUGCGUUGAUGCUCGGUUUCCAGGCAGUAGCCACGACUCAAAUGUGUGGAAUGUAAGCGCUGCAAAAACCUAUUUUGAAGAGAGAUAUCGGUAAGGAGAGAAAACAACUUGGAUAUUAGGCGAUGCUGGAUAUCCAUUACAGCCGUGGUUAAUUACACCAUUCCGUUCUCCUGUGGCAGGAAGUAGAGAAAGCGCCUUCAACAAAACGCACAGUAAAGCGCGCAACAUAGUCG